AAUUGCUGUAGAUCUUGUUCUUUCCG
rnacentral:piRNA from 1 species